AUUUUGAGUUUGAUCCUGGCUCAGGAUUAACGCUUCAGAUGUACAUUAUACAUGCAAGUUUAACGUAUCUUUACGUAGCGAACGGGUGAGUAAUUACAAUAGUUAUUUAUUUUAUUGUUUAGUAUUUAAUAUCAACUCGUAAGGAUAAAUCUACUUUAAGGUAAGCUUUUGUAAAAUUAGGUUGUUGAUAAAAAAAAGAUUAUCAAGCCUUCGAUUUUUAGUUGAUUCGAAAGAAUGAUCAACCACACUGGAAUUGAGAAAAGGUUCAGGCUUUAAUAAGCCAGCAGUAAGGAAUUUUGGACAAUGAGCUAACGCUUGAUCCAGUAACAUCUUGUGAGUGAUGAAGGCUCUUUAGCUGUAAAACUCAUUAUUUUAAAAAUAGGUAGAUUUGUAUAGAAAAAAAGUUCCGACUAAUGUUGUGCCAGCAGUCGCGGUAAUACAGCAGGAACUAGCGUUAUUUAGCAUAAAUGGGCGUAAAGCGUUUGUGGUUGGUAUAAAGUUGUUAGGUGUUAAAUUUCAUGGCGUAACUUUGAAACAGCGCUUAAAACGUUUAUACUAGAGUGCAAUGUAAGACAUUGGAAUUUUACAAGAAGAGGUAAAAUUUUUAGAACUGUAAAAGAACCUCAAAAGCAAAGGCUGUUGUCUAGGUUGUUGACUGACAUUAAGAAACGAAAGUGUGGUUAUCAAACAGGACUAGAUACCCUGGUAGUCUACACCCUAAAUUAUGAGUGUUAACCCUUAGUGUAUUUAAACAUUAGGCGUUUUUGUUAACUUGUUAAGCACUCCGCCUGAAAAGUAUAAUUACAAGAUGGAACUUCAAAGGAAUUGACGGGGAUCAAUUACCAGUGGUGGAGCAUGUUGUUUAAUGCGAUAGUACACGCUAAACCUUACCAGUUUUUGAUGGCGCAUUUUGUGAAGUUUUAAGAAACAAAAAUUUCCGUUUAAUAGUAAGCAUUCUACGCACAAGAAUUGCAUGGCUGUCGUCAGCUCGUGUUGUGAAAUGUUGGAUUAAUUUCUUAAACGAGCGAAACCCCUAUUUUUAAUUGCCACAGUUGAUUCUUUUAACAGGAACUUUAAAAAACUUGUUGGUGGAUAAGCCAAACGAAAGAAGGGAUCACGUCAAGUCCUUAUGAUCUUUAUAAACUGGGCUACAAACGUGCUACAGUGGAAAUUACAAAAAGUAGCGAUAGCCAAAAACUGGAGCAAAUCUUUAAAAAUUUCUAAUGUUCGAAUUGUGUUCUGAAACUCGAGCACAUGAAGUUGGAAUCACAAGUAAUCGUAGAUCAGCAUGCUAUGGUGAAUUUGUACCU
rnacentral:rRNA from 1 species